rnacentral:lncRNA from 1 species
UUACUCUUUUUUUUUCUCUAAUCAAAAUUUGGACUCAACUCUGUGAUUCACAAUUGGGGAUAAACUUGUCUGCUGCUUCUUGCUGAAUGAACUCUUGGAGCAGCAAUCGUCUACCAGGAUGGAGUAUUCUUUGAGCUUCGAACUGCUUGACGGGAAUAUUGAGGUAUAACCUUUCAGUUGUUAUUUUUGAAGGGUUUAUAUGUUAUUUUUUCCUUUUUAAUUUAUCAUAAUUAGUCAGUCCAUGGUCGACUCUCUGCUAAUUUUGAGGUAGAACUUUUUUAAGGUUUAAAAUAAGUGAAAUUUACUAAUCGAUGAUUUAAAAAUUUGAGAUAUAACCCCCUUUUAGAUUUUUGUUUGUACUGUCGGACUACAUUGCCCAUUGAUUUCUCAUCUAGAUAGAGUUAUCUAGUAAAUGUGCUCGUGUGACGUAGCAGGUAUCCCAUAAAAUUAGUCGAGGUACACACAAGCUAAUCGGAACGCCAUUGUUAUUUUUUUAAAAAAGAACUUGAAGUUGCUACUUCCUUUAAGAUUUGUAUGCUACUCAUUAUUUGUUGACAAGGCGCCCAUAGCUGCCACCUUCUGAUCUUGUAUAUGAAACUCCCCCAGGAAGCGAGCCUAAUAUUUGAAUCUUGAAGACUGAUUUACAAAUGGAACUGAGUUAUCACGGCUCUUGAAUAGAUCAAGCAAAGGUAGAAUGGAGAUCUUUAAAAAAAAUGCUCAAUGACACUGCAAGUAAAAUAAAAUAAAAUAAAUAACAUGAAGAAAAUAUUAGCCAGUACCUUUGUCAUUCAUGUAAUUUGGUAUAGUUAGCAUAACUGAGAUGCCUCAACUGAACUGUAUGCUACAUUUGCUGAUGGCUAUUUAUUUAGAUGCCCAACUAAAAUAAGAUAGAAAUACUGUAAAGCUAAAGUGGUCGACCAAGGGUAAUUUUGACAUUUCAAACCUUAGGUAGAAUUGAAAACCCCCUCAUUCAUUCUCUGUUUUGCAUUUUGUAUCUCUCAAAUUCAUUUUUACAUUCUUCAUCUAGAGUAUUCUAAGUUCAGAGUCCCUGAUAGCCCCAUCUAGCUUUCUUCUUCGUCGUCUUCUUUUAGAGAGGUAAUGAUUAUCUCUCUGCUAUUUACUUAUAGUUAUAGAUUACUGAAGUUCAAAGAUGUGUAUUUCUAGCCAAGUUGGUGGCUACUGCUCCAGUUAAACUUGGGGAAAGAAACAGUGAGAUCAUUUCGUGACAAUUUGAGAGUUUCCAAAUUGGGUAGGAGGAAAGGUACAUGGUUAUAAAUUGAUUAUUUUACCAUGGGAUCUUUUUUCAAUUUGUGGUUAUGACAAUGAAGCUAACUUCCUAUAGGUCCUUUUAUUGAUAAAUCAAAGGAGUAGGGCUUCAAUUUUGUUUGCUUUAUCUUUUUGAGCAAUUCAAUAACUCCACAUCAACUGUAUCGAGUGACAUUUUCCAUUCAAAUAUAAUUAACAAAAGAAUUCAAAAAAGAUUGUAUUGUACAAUUUUGUUUCACCAAUAUUUCUUGAGUAGAUGCUCUUAAACCGUUUGAUACUGUAUAUGCUCAUCAUUCCAAUAUAUAUCAUUUUGCACAGUUGGUUAAACAAUCCAAUUCACUGAAAUUGAAUCAUCCUAAAGAAUUUAGUGUUUGACUGAAAGGAAUGGAACUUGGGCCUAACUCAGAGGUGAGGAUUGCCCAAGCCAUAUAAGGAGACCAAGGACCUCAAAUCCCUCCGAUGUGGGACAACUCAAC